AUUGAACGCUGGCGGCAGGCUUAACACAUGCAAGUCGAGCGGUAGCACAGGGGAGCUUGCUCCCUGGGUGACGAGCGGCGGAUGGUUGAGUAAUGUCUGGGAAACUGCCUGAUGGAGGGGGAUAACUACUGGAAACGGUAGCUAAUACCGCAUAACGUCGCAAGACCAAAGAGGGGGACCUUCGGGCCUCUUGCCAUCCGAUGUGCCCAGAUGGGAUUAGCUAGUAGGUGGGGUAAUGGCUCACCUAGGCGACGAUCCCUAGCUGGUCUGAGAGGAUGACCAGCCACACUGGAACUGAGACACGGUCCAGACUCCUACGGGAGGCAGCAGUGGGGAAUAUUGCACAAUGGGCGCAAGCCUGAUGCAGCCAUGCCGCGUGUGUGAAGAAGGCCUUCGGGUUGUAAAGCACUUUCAGAGAGGAGGAAGGUGGUGAGCUUAAUACGUUCAUCAAUUGACGUUACUCGAAGAAGAAGCACCGGCUAACUACGUG
rnacentral:rRNA from 1 species